rnacentral:rRNA from 1 species
UCGGACGGGAUUGAGAAGCUUGCUUUUCAUGAGAGUGGCGCACGGGUGCGUAACACGUAUGUAACCUACCUUAAUCAGGGGGAUAGCCUCUCGAAAGAGAGAUUAACACCGCAUAAAAUCAAUUUAUGGCAUCAUAGAAUGAUCAAAUAUUUAUAGGAUUAAGAUGGGCAUGCGGAACAUUAGCUAGUUGGUAAGGUAACGGCUUACCAAGGCUACGAUGUUUAGGGGAUCUGAGAGGAUGACCCCCCACACUGGUACUGAGACACGGACCAGACUCCUACGGGAGGCAGCAGUAAGGAAUAUUGGUCAAUGGGCGCAAGCCUGAACCAGCCAUGCCGCGUGCAGGAAGACGGCCCUACGGGUUGUAAACUGCUUUUGUACCGGAAUAAACCUUUGUAUGUAUACGAAGCUGAAUGUACGGUAAGAAUAAGGAUCGGCUAACUCCGUGCCAGCAGCCGCGGUAAUACGGAGGAUCCAAGCGUUAUCCGGAUUUAUUGGGUUUAAAGGGUGCGUAGGUGGCCUAUUAAGUCAGGGGUGAAAGACGGUAGCUCAACUAUCGCAGUGCCUUUGAUACUGAUGGGCUUGAAUACACUAGAGGUAGGCGGAAUGUGACAAGUAGCGGUGAAAUGCAUAGAUAUGUCACAGAACACCAAUUGCGAAGGCAGCUUACUAUGGUGUCAUUGACACUGAGGCACGAAAGCGUGGGGAUCAAACAGGAUUAGAUACCCUGGUAGUCCACGCCCUAAACGAUGAACACUCGAUGUUGGCGAUAUACGGUCAGCGUCUAAGCGAAAG